GGUGCUGUGGCUCAGUGGCAGAGCACUUGCCUAGCAUGUAUGAGGCACUGGGUUCGAUCCUUAGCACUG
rnacentral:tRNA from 1 species